rnacentral:rRNA from 1 species
ACGCUCGACACCUACGGAGGCAGCAGUGGGGAAUAUUGCACAAUGGGGGAAACCCUGAUGCAGCAACGCCGCGUGAGUGAAGAAGUAUUUCGGUAUGUAAAGCUCUAUCAGCAGGGAAGAUAAUGACGGUACCUGACUAAGAAGCUCCGGCUAAAUACGUGCCAACAGCCGCGGUAAUCUGAGCGGGCUGGCAAGGC